CAGUAGCCACGGUAAUACGUAGGUCCCGAGCGUUGUCCGGAUUUAUUGGGCGUAAAGCGAGCGCAGGCGGUUUGAUAAGUCUGAAGUUAAAGGCUGCGGCUCAACCAUAGUUCGCUUUGGAAACUGCCAAACUUGAGUGCAGAAGGGGAGAGUGGAAUUCCAUGUGUAGCGGUGAAAUGCGUAGAUAUAUGGAGGAACACCGGUGGCGAAAGCGGCUCUCUGGUCUGUAACUGACGCUGAGGCUCGAAAGCGUGGGGAGCGAACAGGAUUAGAUACCCGAGUAGUCCCUGUCUCUUAUACA
rnacentral:rRNA from 1 species